UUUAUCAACAAGAGGAUUCAAGAGAGUUCUAGAGAGAAAGGAAGAGAAGAAACUUGAAGCUAGAGAAAGAAUAGGUUCGGCCAAGGAAAAAAAAGCCCAAAACGUCACCGAACAGCCCCAAAGUUUUAGCCGCGCUAGGAGAGCUUCCGAGGCAAGUUUUGGAGAGUUUCGGUAAAGACUAACAAGUUGGAAGAAUAAGAAAAGCUAGUAAAGCGCGGUACAGGUACACCUAGACAAGUAGAAACUACUAUAGAAGAUGUUCCAGCGGAGUUGGCAACUCCACUUGUUCUGGAGUGCUGUCGAGUCAGAGUUUAUACGCUAUGAUGUUUCAUUCGAAGUUAGAGACUUUGCAGACAGAGUCGUGGGUAUAGAGUGACAGCUUUGUAAGCGGCGUCACCAACCGAUAUGUUAUUAUGUAGUAUG